GGAAUCUAUAUAAGAUAGAGGAGGACCAGGCUGGUAGCCAGGAGAAGCCAGGUUUCCAUGGAAAAGCUCGGGAUCAGGUCCAUGGCCAC